CAUGUAGGUGGAUCAAUAAGUCUGCUGUGAAAGUCGAAGGCUCAACCUUCGAAAGCCGGUGGAUACUGUUGAUCUAGAGUACGGAAGAGGCGAGUGGAAUUCCUGGUGUAGCGGUGGAAUGCGCAGAUAUCAGGAGGAACACCAAUAGCGAAGGCAGCUCGCUGGGACGUAACUGACACUGAGAUGCGAAAGCGUGGGAGCAAACA
rnacentral:rRNA from 1 species